AUGACUUCUCUCUGUGUAUAUGUUUAUGACGAUCUUCUGUACUUAAUGAUUUUUUUCAUUUUCUUACUAAUGAGCACCUCGAAGACGUCGUGGCCGGAGGUGGUGGGCUGGCCGGCGGCGCAGGCCGUGACUCAGGUCAACACCGACAGGCCUGAGGUCGCGAUCGAGGUGCUCCCGUCUGGCACCAGCGUGUCCCCGGGGUUUAGUAGCACGCGCGUUCGCGUCUUCUUUGAUGGGACUGGCAGUGUCGCGGCCACUCCACAGGUUGGUUAG
rnacentral:rRNA from 1 species